GCUGCUGGGGCAGCCCUCUCGAGCGAUACAGAGAAGAUUAGCAUGGCCUCUGCACAGGGAUGGCACAUGGCUUCAUGAAGAGUCCCACAUUUUC
ensembl:snRNA U6 U6 spliceosomal RNA